rnacentral:piRNA from 2 species
UAAGAUGGGACACACGACUAAAAGACUUUC